ACCCUUGGGGGCCUCCACCCAUUAAGGACGCUUGGCGGCGGGCCUAAUACAUGCAAGUCGAACGCAGUCGACCUUCGGGUCAUAUGACUGAGUGGCGAACGGGUGAGUAACACGUGAGAAACCUGCCCCGAAGACUGGAAUAACCCGAGGAAACUCGGGCUAAUACCGGAUGUCCCCAGAUGGCCGCAUGGCCGACUGAGGAAAUGCUCCGGCGCUUUGGGAGGGUCUCGCGGCCUAUCAGCUUGUUGGUGAGGUAACGGCUCACCAAGGCUUCGACGGGUAGCUGGUCUGAGAGGACGAUCAGCCACACUGGGACUGAGAUACGGCCCAGACUCCUACGGGAGGCAGCAGUAGGGAAUCUUGCGCAAUGGGCGAAAGCCUGACGCAGCCACGCCGCGUGAGUGAUGAAGGCCUUCGGGUCGUAAAGCUCUUUCAGCAGGGACGAAAAUGACGGUACCUGCAGAAGAAGCCCCGGCCAACUACGUGCCAGCAGCCGCGGUAACACGUAGGGGGCAAGCGUUGUCCGGAUUUAUUGGGCGUAAAGGGCUCGUAGGCUGUUCAGUAAGUCAGGUGUGAAAACUCGAGGCUCAACCUCGAGACGCCACUUGAUACUGCUGUGACUAGAGUUCGGUAGAGGAGUGUGGAAUUCCUAGUGUAGCGGUGAAAUGCGCAGAUAUUAGAGAACACCAACAGCGAUGCAGCACUCUGGCCGAUACUGACGCUGAGGAGCGAAGCGUGGGAGCGAACAGAUUAGAUACCCUGUAGUCCACGCCGUAACGGUGGGCACUGAAUGUGGGAUCCAGUCAACGGAAUCCGGGUCGUAG
rnacentral:rRNA from 1 species